rnacentral:rRNA from 2 species
ACGUAGGUCCCGAGCGUUGUCCGGAUUUAUUGGGCGUAAAGCGAGCGCAGGCGGUUAGAUAAGUCUGAAGUUAAAGGCUGUGGCUUAACCAUAGUACGCUUUGGAAACUGUUUAACUUGAGUGCAAGAGGGGAGAGUGGAAUUCCAUGUGUAGCGGUGAAAUGCGUAGAUAUAUGGAGGAACACCGGUGGCGAAAGCGGCUCUCUGGCUUGUAACUGACGCUGAGGCUCGAAAGCGUGGGGAGCAAACAG